AUUGAACGCUGGCGGCAGGCCUAACACAUGCAAGUCGAGCGAGCGGCGGACGGGUGAGUAAUGUAUGGGGACUGCCCGAUAGAGGGGGAUAACUACUGGAAACGGUGGCUAAUACCGCAUACUAUCGGAUAACCACUAUGGGAUUAGCUAGUAGGUGGGGUAAAGGCUCACCUAGGCCACGAUCUCUAGCUGGUCUGAGAGGAUGAUCAGCCACAUUGGGACGGAGAGACGGCCCAGACGCAUACGGAGGCAGCAGUGGGGGCUAUUGCACAAUGGGCGAAAGCCUGAUGCAGCGACGCCGCGUGGGGGAUGAAGGCUGUCGGGUUGUAAACCUCUUUCGCUAUCGAACCGGUACCUGUAGAAUAAGCCACGGCUAACUACGUGCCAGCAGCCGCGGUAAUAC
rnacentral:rRNA from 1 species